rnacentral:rRNA from 1 species
CGUAGGUGGCAAGCGUUGUCCGGAUUUAUUGGGUUUAAAGGGUGCGUAGGUGGCCCUGUAAGUCAGUGGUGAAAUAUCUCAGCUUAACUGAGAGGGUGCCAUUGAUACUGCAGGGCUUGAGUACAGAUGAGGUAGGCGGAAUUGACGGUGUAGCGGUGAAAUGCAUAGAUAUCGUCAAGAACACCGAUAGCGAAGGCAGCUUACCAAGCUGUAACUGACACUGAGGCACGAAAGUGUGGGGAUCAAACAGGAUUAGAUACCCUGGUAGUCCACACUGUAAACGUUGAUGACUCGAUGUUGGCGAUACACAGCCAGCGUCCAAGAGCAAUCGUUAGGUCAUCCACCUGGGGAGCACGCCGGCAACGGUG